rnacentral:rRNA from 1 species
CCUACGGGAGGCAGCAGUGAGGAAUAUUGGUCAAUGGGCGAGAGCCUGAACCAGCCAAGUCGCGUGAGGGAGUACUGCCCUAUGGGUUGUAAACCUCUUUUGUCGGGGAGCAAAAGCCGGACGUGUCCGGCUGUGAGAGUACCCGAAGAAAAAGCAUCGGCUAACUCCGUGCCAGCAGCCGCGGUAAUACGGAGGAUGCGAGCGUUAUCCGGAUUUAUUGGGUUUAAAGGGUGCGCAGGCGGAUUUUUAAGUCAGCGGUAAAAUCGUGGGGCUCAACCCCAUCCAGCCGUUGAAACUGGGGAUCUAGAGUGUGCGAGAGGGAUGCGGAAUGCGUGGUGUAGCGGUGAAAUGCAGAGAUAUCACGCAGAACCCCGAUUGCGAAGGCAGCAUACCGGUGCACAACUGACGCUCAGGCACGAAAGCGUGGGUAUCGAACAGGAUUAGAUACCCUAGUAGUC